rnacentral:rRNA from 1 species
ACGAACGCUGGCGGCGUGCUUAACACCUGCAAGUCGAACGAUGAAGCCAGCUUGCUGGUGGAUUAGUGGCGAACGGGUGAGUAACACGUGGGUGAUCUGCCCCAAACUUUGGGAUAAGCCUGGGAAACUGGGUCUAAUACCGAAUAUGACCGAUACUCGCAUGGGUGUUGGUGGAAAGCUCCGGCGGUUUGGGAUGGGCCCGCGGCCUAUCAGCUUGUUGGUGGGGUAAUGGCCUACCAAGGCGACGACGGGUAGCCGGCCUGAGAGGGCGACCGGCCACACUGGGACUGAGACACGGCCCAGACUCCUACGGGAGGCAGCAGUGGGGAAUAUUGCACAAUGGGCGCAAGCCUGAUGCAGCGACGCCGCGUGAGGGAUGACGGCCUUCGGGUUGUAAACCUCUUUCACCAGGGACGAAGCGAAAGUGACGGUACCUGGAGAAGAAGCACCGGCCAACUACGUG